UAGAGACUCAUUUGGAGUAUAAACAAAAAUAAGAGAGCUUACUUAAAGUAGCUUUGGUUUUUUUACUGGUUGGUAUAUAAAAGAAUAACCCCUAAGAUUAGUAUCAGGGAUAAGAAAGAGAUUAGAAACUAGAAGUUGGGAGUUAGAAAUAAGGAUGUAAGUCUAGAUUCUAACAAUCUAAACUCUGACAUCUAAGACAGUCUCGUAGCUCAGCUGGUUAGAGCGCUACACUGAUAAUGUAGAGGUCGGCAGUUCGAGCCUGCCCGAGACUACUAAUUGAUAGAGGUUGGAUACUAGAAGUUAGAAUUUAGAAAAAGUUGAAUGUCUAAAAUCUAACAUCUGAAAUCUAACAUCUACACUAAUGGGGGAAUUAGCUCAGCUGGCUAGAGCGCCUGCCUUGCACGCAGGAGGUCAAGGGUUCGACUCCCUUAUUCUCCACAAGGGUUAGAUAUUUAAUUUAAAAAGUAACAGAUGGAGCCAAAUACAACAUCAGUUCAUUAAAUAUUUAGCAAGCGUAAAGCACAUUGACAUUAACGGUAAAAGACAUCACAAAGAGAAAACCGAGCACUUAUAA
rnacentral:tRNA from 1 species